UACGUAGGGUCCGAGCGUUAUCCGGAAUUACUGGGCGUAAAGCGCACGCAGGCGGUUCGCCAAGUUUGGAGUGACAGUUGUCGGCUCAACCGACAAAGGACUUCAAAAACUGGUGAACUUGAGGACGAGAGAGGAACAUGGAACUCCAGGUGUAGUAGUGAAAUGCGUAGAUAUCUGGAAGAACACCAAUGGCGAAGGCAAUGUUCUGGCUCGUUUCUGACGCUCAGGUGCGAAAGCCAGGGGAGCGAACGGG
rnacentral:rRNA from 1 species